CCCCUGACUCGGUCCCUGUAGAGUCAGGCAUGGAAAUGCUCCUGAGUCGGUGCCUAUUACCCCUGAGUCAUAGAAAUUGACAAAAAUGCCCUCGAUAUUAUAUCAAAAAAUUACAUUUCUUCUUUUCUCAUUUUCUUCGUUUGUUCCGUCAAGAGGAGAGAUGGGAGAUAAGCAACCAAACCCGAUCUCCAUCAUCGCCCUCAUCUGAUAUCUCCUUCGUCUUCAACUGAUAUUCUCCUUCAUCACCUCAUCUCAUCUUUUGAUCUGUUUCAUAUCAUCUAAAAGCUUCCUUUUGAAUCAUCAUCAUCUUCAGGUAUAAUAUCCUGGUUAGUGCUACCAAAUCAUCAGGGCUAGUUCGCAUAUAACCUUAUACAUUAUCUCAGUAGGCAGACAUUUGUUUCCAUCACUGGAUCCUAAAGCAGUUCUCUAUGGAGAAAAAAGAAGAUGAAAAAGCAAAUAAGAUAACUUUUAGGAGCAUCCCAGCAUUUAGAGGAUUAUUUAUUGACCAAUGUUUGGCACAAGCUACUGAGCAU